rnacentral:lncRNA from 1 species
UACCGUAGGCUUCAACGCCCUCUAAAUACACCCUUGCAAAUUCUACAAAGAGAGUGUUUCAUAACUGCUCUAUAGGAAGAAAGGUUCAACUCUGUGAGUUGAAUGCAGAGAUCACAACGUGGUUUCUGUGAAUGAUUCUUUGUAGUUUUUACAUGAAGAUAUUUCGUUGUCUACCGUAGGCUUCAAAGCACUCAAAGUAUUCACUUGGAACUUUUACAAAAAGAGUGUUAGAAAACUGCUCUUUCCAAAGUAAGGUUCAACUCUGUGAGUUGAAUGCACACAUAACAAAGAAGAAGUUUCUGAGAAUUCUUCUGUCCUGGUUUAUAUGAAGAAAUCCCGUUUCCAACGAAGGCCUCAAAGACGUUCAAAUAUCCACUUGCAGACUUCAUAAACAGAGUGUUUCCAAACUGCUCUAUGAAAAGAAAGGUUAAACUCUGUGAGUUGAAUGCACAUAUCACAAAGUAGUUCCUGAGAAUGAUUCUGUCUAGUUUUUAUACGAACAUAUUUCCUUUUCCACCACUGGCCUC